UAAUACGAGAGGCCCAAACGUUAUUCGGAUUUACUGGGCUUAAAGAGUUCGUAGGCGGCGCGGAAAGUAGGGUGUGAAAGCCCUCGGCUCAACCGAGGAAUUGCGCUCUAAACUACCGUGCUUGAGGAAGCUAGAGGUGAGCGGAACUGAUGGUGGAGCGGUGAAAUGCGUUGAUAUCAUCAGGAACACCGGAGGCGAAGGCGGCUCACUGGGGCUUUUCUGACGCUGAGGAACGAAAGCCAGGGGAGCGAACGGGAUUAGAUACCCCGGUAGUCCUGGCCGUAAACGAUGAGCACUGGACCGGAGGGCUGCACAGCUUUUCGGUCGUAGCGAAAGUGUUAAGUGCUCCGCCUGGGGAGUAUGGUCGCAAGGCUG
rnacentral:rRNA from 1 species